CAGCAGCCGCGGUAAUACGUAGGGUGCGAGCGUUGUCCGGAAUUACUGGGCGUAAAGAGCUCGUAGGCGGUUUGUCGCGUCGUCUGUGAAAUUCUGCAGCUUAACUGCAGGCGUGCAGGCGAUACGGGCAGACUUGAGUACUACAGGGGAGACUGGAAUUCCUGGUGUAGCGGUGAAAUGCGCAGAUAUCAGGAGGAACACCGGUGGCGAAGGCGGGUCUCUGGGUAGUAACUGACGCUGAGGAGCGAAAGCGUGGGUAGCGAACAGGAUUAGAUACCCGUGUAGUCCCUGUCUCUUAUAC
rnacentral:rRNA from 1 species